AAAGGAAUUGACGGGGGCCCGCACAAGCGGCGGAGCAUGUGGAUUAAUUCGAUGCAACGCGAAGAACCUUACCUGGGCUUGACAUAUGCAGGAUUGGGUCAGAGAUGGCUUGUCCCUUGUGGUCUGUAUACAGGUGGUGCAUGGUUGUCGUCAGCUCGUGUCGUGAGAUGUUGGGUUAAGUCCCGCAACGAGCGCAACCCUUGUCUUAUGUUGCCAGCACGUUAUGGUGGGGACUCAUGAGAGACUGCCGGGGUUAACUCGGAGGAAGGUGGGGAUGACGUCAAAUCAUCAUGCCCCUUAUGUCCAGGGCUUCACACAUGCUACAAUGGUCGGUACAAUGCGUUGCGAUACUGUGAGGUGGAGCGAAUCGUGUAAAGCCGGCCUUAGUUCGGAUUGGGGUCUGCAACUCGACCCCAUGAAGUCGGAGUCGCUAGUAAUCGCAGAUCAGCAAUGCUGCGGUGAAUACGUUCCCGGGCCUUGUACACACCGCCCGU
rnacentral:rRNA from 1 species